rnacentral:misc_RNA from 1 species
UUAAGUUCAGCGGGUAUCCCCGCCCGAUUCGAGGUCGUCUAGGGGUGGUCGGAUGCAUAGCCCCGUCCCCGCGCGCGAACAAGGCCCGUAAGGCACGAUUACUACGCUCGGGGCUGUUGGGGCUGGGCAGCUAAUGGAUUUCGAGGGGCCGCCGGGCGGGCGGUUCCCUCAACACCGGGCCCACGAGGGCCCGAGGGGUU